AAAAACUUAGGAUAUUUAAACCAAAAGCCUUYAAAGCUUUUAAAAAGGGUGUAAACCC
rnacentral:tRNA from 1 species